rnacentral:rRNA from 1 species
GACGAACGCUGGCGGCGUGCUUAACACAUGCAAGUCGAACGGAAAGGCCCUGCUUUUGUGGGGUGCUCGAGUGGCGAACGGGUGAGUAACACGUGAGUAACCUGCCCUUGACUUUGGGAUAACUUCAGGAAACUGGGGCUAAUACCGGAUAGGUGCUCCUGCUGCAUGGUGGGGGUUGGAAAGUUUCGGCGGUUGGGGAUGGACUCGCGGCUUAUCAGCUUGUUGGUGGGGUAGUGGCUUACCAAGGCUUUGACGGGUAGCCGGCCUGAGAGGGUGACCGGCCACAUUGGGACUGAGAUACGGCCCAGACUCCUACGGGAGGCAGCAGUGGGGAAUAUUGCACAAUGGGCGGGAGCCUGAUGCAGCAACGCCGCGUGCGGGAUAACGGCCUUCGGGUUGUAAACCGCUUUCGCCUGUGACGGAGCGUGAGUGACGGUAAUGGGUAAAGAAGCACCGGCUAACUACGUG